rnacentral:rRNA from 1 species
GACGAACGCUGGCGGCGUGCUUAACACAUGCAAGUCGAACGGAAAGGCCCUGCUCUUGUGGGGUGCUCGUGUGGCGCACGGGUGAGUAACACGUGAGUAACCCGUCCCUGUCUGUGGGAUAACUUCUGGGAACUGGGGCUAUUAUCGGAUAGGAUCUCCUGCUGCACGGGGGGGGUUGGUAAGAUUCGGCGGUUGGGGAUGGUCUCGCGGCUUAUCAGCUUGUUUGUGUGGUAGUGGCUUUCCAGGGCUUUGACGGGUAGCCGGCCUGAGAGGGUUGCCGGCCACAUGGGGACUAAGAUACGGCCCAGACUCCUACGGGAGGCAGCAGGGGGGAAUAUUGCAGAAUAGGCGGGAGCCUGAUGCAGCAACGCCGCGUGCGGGAUGACGGCCUUCGGGUUGUAAACCGCUGUCGCCUGUGACGAACAGUGCGUGACGGUAAUGGGUAAGGAAGCACCGGCUAACUACGUG